rnacentral:rRNA from 1 species
UACAGAGGGUGCGAGCGUUAAUCGGAAUUACUGGGCGUAAAGCGUGCGUAGACGGUUACGUAAGUCGGGUGUGAAAGCUCCGGGCUCAACCUGGGAAUUGCAUUCGAGACUGCGUAGCUAGGGUGCGGAAGAGGGAAGCGGAAUUUCCGGUGUAGCGGUGAAAUGCGUAGAUAUCGGAAGGAACAUCAGUGGCGAAAGCGGCUUCCUGGUCCAGCACCGACGUUCAGGCACGAAAGCGUGGGGAGCAAACAGG